ACAUACGACAACAUCAUGCAAAAGUAAAAUAAGUAGGGGAAAUUAAAACUGUCAUGUUUUAUAUUACAACAACUCAAAAUUCCAAUUGCACAACUGAAUGUGUAUACAUUUUGAUCCAUAUCAUGACAAGACUGUUUAGUAAGAUAUAAAAUAUGAUUACAUUUGUCCUAUGUUUAAUCUGUGUUAUUUCGCAAUAAUCGUCUUAUUUCGUAAGAAUUUAAAUUGCUGACUCUCUGAUCAAACAUCAAGUUGUGCAUAAGAGAAAACUAAUCAUUUCACAUUUAAAGGUACUACAUUUUAUAUUGCGAAUCACAUCUCUUGAACAAUUUUGAUUUUUCAUCUUUACUCAGACUCCGGGCUGGUAAAAUGUACAAUAUUAUAUUUGUUAUAUUGCUUCUAACCUUUGUAAGUGCUGAUGCGCAGAACUGCCAUUGCCCAAGAUUUUAUUGCUUAGAUGGUGGAAGAGCCAAAAGGAGUCCUGACAUUCCAAUUUGUCCAUUAUGUCCAAGACCAGAAUGUCCACCACCUCCAGGAACGGAAAUCUCUUAAAAAAGUGGUUUUGACCUUUGUCGUAAGACAACCUUCUCAAUUUAAAGGAUAUAUUUUACCAUUUUGUCUUAGAAAAAAUAAAUUUAUAUAAAAUAUUAAAAAA